CUACUUUCAGAGAUGCUUUGGUGCCUUCGGGAACUCUGAGACAGGUGCUGCAUGGCUGUCGUCAGCUCGUGUUGUGAAAUGUUGGGUUAAGUCCCGCAACGAGCGCAACCCUUAUCCUUUGUUGCCAGCGGUUCGGCCGGGAACUCAAAGGAGACUGCCAGUGAUAAACUGGAGGAAGGUGGGGAUGACGUCAAGUCAUCAUGGCCCUUACGAGUAGGGCUACACACGUGCUACAAUGGCGCAUACAAAGAGAAGCGACCUCGCGAGAGCAAGCGGACCUCAUAAAGUGCGUCGUAGUCCGGAUUGGAGUCUGCAACUCGACUCCAUGAAGUCGGAAUCGCUAGUAAUCGUAGAUCAGAAUGCUACGGUGAAUACGUUCCCGGGUCUUGUACACACCGA
rnacentral:rRNA from 1 species